CAUAAUGUUAUCGGAGCGACGCAGGAGAUGAGAAGCAGGUACGGGGAGUGAAGGUUUAUUAGCUGACGGACAUGAAACGGAACAGGACCAGCGUCUGGACAGGAACACAUAACAAACACAAUACGGAACAAUGCGGACACAGGGAACACAACCAAGGAACAGACAGAUAUACAGGGGAAAAUCAACAAAGGGAAGGAGCCCAGGUGAGUCCAGUGAGCGCAGCUGCAUGUAAUGUUGGUAACAGGUGUGUAUGAUGACGGGUAGCCUGGCGUCCUCGAGCGCCAGGGAGGAGGAGCAGGAGCAGGUGUAAUGUUGGUAACAGGUGUGUAUGAUGACGGGUAGCCUGGCGUCCUCGAGCGCCAGGGAGGAGGAGCAGGAGCAGG
rnacentral:lncRNA from 1 species